rnacentral:ncRNA from 1 species
UAGGUGCCGAAAGGCUUAAUAGGGAAAUCGGUGAAAAACCGGUACGGUCCCGCCGCUGUAAUGGGGAGUAACUCCACAAAGAUGUCACUGGAUAUAUUCUGGGAAGGCGUGGAGAAGCGAUGAUACAGAGUCAGAAGAACUGCCUAGCUUC